CAAGUCUUUAUACAUGUCUCGGUCCAACAUUAUAAAACUUAGCAGCCACUUCGCCACGUUAAAUUCAAAGAUAAAAUGUCUCGGUCCAACAUUUUGUUUGUUUCGGAGGGAGCUCCGUUCACGGCGGUUCUGAUUCGCAGCAGAGGAGUUCAAGGUUCCUCCCCAAACCAGCGCCAUCAUCACCAAUGAUGGGAUCGGGAUCAAUCCCCAACAGGCGCAGGAAACGUGUUCCUGAAGCAAGGAUCUGAACUAAGACUCAUCCCCCGUGAUAGAGUUGGAGCUGCGUUUUGUUAUUGAUCCAAUGAAUCUUGUAAACCGAAUGAGUGAAACACAGUACCAGAAACAUAUUAAAAACUUUUGACAUAUUGAAAUGGUUAUUGUACAACUUCCUUUUUUAGACAAGAAAGGGAACUGGAUCUGGUUUAAAGUUAUAUCUUUGGGUCUAAUUCAUGGUUAUGUGUUACAUU